GGCUCGGUAGCUUAGUUGAUAAAGCGCUCGUCUAGCAUACAUGAGUCCUGGGUUCAAAUCCCAGCCGAGUAC
rfam:Aedes aegypti strain Liverpool supercont1.21 genomic scaffold, whole genome shotgun sequence.